rnacentral:rRNA from 1 species
AGAGACCGGCGCACGGGUGCGUAACGCGUAUGCAAUCUACCUUUCACAGAGGGAUAGCCCAGAGAAAUUUGGAUUAAUACCUCAUAGUAUAGCAGUUUCGCAUGAAACCACUAUUAAAGAUUUAUCGGUGAAAGAUGAGCAUGCGUCCCAUUAGUUAGUUGGUAAGGUAACGGCUUACCAAGACAACGAUGGGUAGGGGUCCUGAGAGGGAGAUCCCCCACACUGGUACUGAGACACGGACCAGACUCCUACGGGAGGCAGCAGUGAGGAAUAUUGGACAAUGGGCGCAAGCCUGAUCCAGCCAUGCCGCGUGCAGGAUGACGGUCCUAUGGAUUGUAAACUGCUUUUAUACAGGAAGAAACAGUUCUACGUGUAGAACCUUGACGGUACUGUAAGAAUAAGGAUCGGCUAACUCCGUGCCAGCAGCCGCGGUAAUACGGAGGAUCCAAGCGUUAUCCGGAAUCAUUGGGUUUAAAGGGUCCGUAGGCGGUCAGAUAAGUCAGUGGUGAAAGCCCAUCGCUCAACGGUGGAACGGCCAUUGAUA